rnacentral:rRNA from 1 species
UACGGAGGAUCCGAGCGUUAUCCGGAUUUAUUGGGUUUAAAGGGUGUGUAGGUGGCCUGUUAAGUCAGGGGUGAAAGACGGUAGCUCAACUAUCGCAGUGCCCUUGAUACUGAUGGGCUUGAAUGAACUAGAGGUAGGCGGAAUGUGACAAGUAGCGGUGAAAUGCAUAGAUAUGUCACAGAACACCAAUUGCGAAGGCAGCUUACUAUGGUUUUAUUGACACUGAGGCACGAAAGCGUGGGGAUCAAACAGG